rnacentral:rRNA from 1 species
UACGGGGGAGCAAGCGUUGUUCGGAUUUAUCUGGGCGUAAAGGGCGCGUAGGCGGUCAGCACAAGUCAGUUGGUGAAAUCUCCGGGCUUAACUCGGAAAGGUCAACUGAUACUGUGCGAACUAGAGUGCGGAAGGGGCAACUGGAAUUCUCGGUGUAGCGGAUGAAAUGCGUAGAUAUCGAGAGGAACACCUGCGGCGAAGGCGGGUUGCUGGGCCGACACUGACGCUGGAUGCGCGAAAGCCAGGGAGCAAACAGG